GUGUUUGCUAGUGGAGCAUCAUCAAGAUUCACAAGCUUUAUAGGGCUUCAAAUCAAUUAGCCCUUCUUCAUGUUAUGAGAAUCUUGAUGAUGCUGCAGCAGCAAUUGA
rnacentral:pre_miRNA from 2 species